rnacentral:rRNA from 1 species
CGAACGGCAGCACGGGGGCAACCCUGGUGGCGAGUGGCGAACGGGUGAGUAAUGCAUCGGAACGUGUCCUGUCGUGGGGGAUAACCAGUCGAAAGAUUGGCUAAUACCGCAUGAGAUCGAGAGAUGAAAGCGGGGGACCGCAAGGCCUCGCGCGAUAGGAGCGGCCGAUGCCGGAUUAGCUAGUUGGCGGGGUAACGGCCCACCAAGGCGACGAUCCGUAGCUGGUUUGAGAGAACGACCAGCCACACUGGGACUGAGACACGGCCCAGACUCCUACGGGAGGCAGCAGUGGGGAAUUUUGGACAAUGGGCGCAAGCCUGAUCCAGCCAUGCCGCGUGUGUGAAGAAGGCCUUCGGGUUGUAAAGCACUUUCGGACGGAACGAAAUCGCGCGGGUGAAUAAUCCGCGCGGAUGACGGUACCGUAAGAAGAAGCACCGGCUAACUACGUGCCAGCAGCCGCGGUAAUACGUAGGGUGCGAGCGUUAAUCGGAAUUACUGGGCGUAAAGGGUGCGCAGGCGGCUCCGCAUGUCAGGCGUGAAAUCCCCGGGCUUAACUUGGGAACUGCGCUUGAAACUACGGGGCUGGAGUGCGGCAGAGGGAGGUGGAAUUCCACGUGUAGCGGUGAA